GGCCUACAGUCUAGAAGGGGGGAGACGGACAUCAAAAUGAAAGGAAAGCGGGCUGAGGGAAUUGCUCGAUGGAGAGGCUGGAGUCGAAGGGCUGAAUCCGCACACGAGAGAUGGGGGGCAAUUGGGAAGGGGAUUCAAAUAAAGCACGACGUCCUGAGGCUCGCAUCUCCUCCUGCCUUCAGGACGUAUCCACCUGGAU